GGGAUUCAAACAUCCUUCAUAGAUAAGGAGUGAAACUCUGGGUUGUCUACUCCUGGAUCCCUUAGCUCAGGACUCCAAACACACAUUCUUCUUAGACCAUAGGGUCCUUCUCAGGGUAUGCUUCAGCUAUGGUUGUCAGAAGAAAGAAUAUGACUGAGGGAUAUGACUGAGGGGUAUAUGGCAGAAGAAGAGAUGAAGUAGGACCCACAGGUCAAAUAGCAAACUCAACCAACCAAGAUAUGAAAACGAUACAAUAAAGAGAAGAAAAAGUUAAAGUACUUGACAAAAUGAUAUAUGCUGCCACAAUUUUGAACGUUACUUCUUAUGAGAAG